ACUCACCUCGUAGGGUUUGUAGUCGAACCUUUUUCACCUUAUCAACUCCCUUGUGAGAAUUCUCUAAGAUCUCUCAUGCUUUCUUGGCGGUGGUUGCACUUGCAAUUUUCUCAAAAGCUCCAUCAUCUACACUUUGUUGGAUGAUGAAAAGAGCCUUUUGAUCAUUGAUAUUGUCUCGCUUUUCUUCUUUCGUGAGUGAGCCCUUAUCUUUAGGCUCCUCAUAACCUUGCUCCACAGUCUCCCAUAGGUCUUGUCCACCUAGGAAUGUCUUCAUUUGGAUGCUCCAUCGAUCGUAAUUAUCCUUUGUGAGGCGAGGAAACGUGAUGACAUUGUUGGCCAUCAUCUUGUCAAACCAA
rnacentral:lncRNA from 1 species